rnacentral:rRNA from 1 species
AUCAAAACUUUCAACAACGGAUCUCUUGGUUCUGGCAUCGAUGAAGAACGCAGCGAAAUGCGAUAAGUAAUGUGAAUUGCAGAAUUCAGUGAAUCAUCGAAUCUUUGAACGCACAUUGCGCCCUCUGGUAUUCCAGAGGGCAUGCCUGUUCGAGCGUCA